rnacentral:rRNA from 1 species
UAGGGAAUCUUCGGCAAUGGGGGCAACCCUGACCGAGCAACGCCGCGUGAGUGAAGAAGGUUUUCGGAUCGUAAAGCUCUGUUGUAAGUCAAGAACGAGUGUGAGAGUGGAAAGUUCACACUGUGACGGUAGCUUACCAGAAAGGGACGGCUAACUACGUGCCAGCAGCCGCGGUAAUACGUAGGUCCCGAGCGUUGUCCGGAUUUAUUGGGCGUAAAGCGAGCGCAGGCGGUUUGAUAAGUCUGAAGUUAAAGGCUGUGGCUCAACCAUAGUUCGCUUUGGAAACUGUCAAACUUGAGUGCAGAAGGGGAGAGUGGAAUUCCAUGUGUAGCGGUGAAAUGCGUAGAUAUAUGGAGGAACACCGGUGGCGAAAGCGGCUCUCUGGCCUGUAACUGACGCUGAGGCUCGAAAGCGUGGGGAGCGAACAGGAUUAGAUACCCUGGUAGUCCACGCCGUAACGAUGAGUGCUAGGUGUUGGAUCCUUUCCGGGAUUCAGUGCCGCAGCUAACGCAUUAAGCACUCCGCCUGGGGAGUACGACCGCAAGGUU